GUUACUUUUUAUACCAAUCUCGUUCUCUAGUCUCAGUAUAAGAAAGCCAUAAACCUUUCUUGCCCCUCCCUUCACAUGAAGCCUCAUAUGCCAAACUUAAAAUUCAGUUUGUAGACUAUGCCCUAUACACACAGCCAUUAACUAUACACCUCCUGCUCAAAAAGUCUCCCCUCUCUCCUGUUAACCCUUUCCUUACGUUCCAACCCAAGAUUCCUCCCGGUUGCUUCCUGCCAGUGGAUGCUGUCCCUAUUCAUCCUGCAACAUCAGCACCAAUUCACAACCUAGCUCCGCCCAAAGCAUCCCCCUCUGCCAAUAGCAGCCCGGCCACGCUAUUCUCAAG